rnacentral:rRNA from 1 species
AAGCCAUGCAUGUCUCAGUGCAAGCCGUCUAGUACGGUGAAACCGCGAAAGGCUCAUUAAAUCAGUUAUGGUUCCUUAGAUUGUACCCACGUUACUUGGAUAACUGUGGUAAUUCUAGAGCUAAUACAUGCCGAUAGAGUUCCGACCAGUUGCUCGCCUCGGCGGGCAAUACGGAAGGAACGCUUUUAUUAGAUCAAAACCGGCCUGGCAACGGCUUCGGCCGUUGUUAGCGGCCCACGCAAAGAUUUGGUGACUCUGAAUAACUUCGAGCUGAUCGCACGGCCUCGUGCCGGCGACGUAUCUUUCAAAUGUCUGCCUUAUCAACUGUCGACGGUAGGUUCGACGCCUACCGUGGUGGUAACGGGUAACGGGGAAUCAGGGUUCGAUUCCGGAGAGGGAGCCUGAGAAACGGCUACCACAUCCAAGGAAGGCAGCAGGCGCGCAAAUUACCCACUCCCAGCUCGGGGAGGUAGUGACGAAAAAUAACGAUACGGGACUCAUUUGAGGCCCCGUAAUCGGAAUGAGUACACUUUAAAACCUUGGUCAC